ensembl:lncRNA
GUAAGUCUGCUACAGCAAAUAUUGCAGUCGUUUCCAACAAAGGCAAAACAAAUCCCACGUCGUCAGUGGCACUGCAGGUCAGGCACGAAGCUGUGCCAGCUCCCACAGUCUGGGUAGGAAAAGAAACCCAAGCAGUGCAGAGAGAUUGAAAUGAUGGCUGACCAACCAGCCAGGGGCUUCUAAUCACUUUACUGCAUUCUACACACAGUGUGCCAACACAGCAGAAAGCUGCAGUCUGGAGCUCCAGAAACGUACAAAAGCAGAGCUCCUGUAAACCACUGACAGCAUUGGGAUCGCCAGCACAAGGGAGGUCCCUUGGAGAUCUAUUGAUUCUGCCUUUGGGUGAGAUCCUGACCUGCACUUGGUGCUGCUCUUGCUUUGUUGCCAUUUAAGAUAAUAAGACGCUGUGAUGCUGUCCGUGGCAUCCAUAGGAACGGAGUUAUGCCAAUAUUGGUGGUUUCAGAAGAUGAUUUGCAAGUGUGUGCCAAAGCCCUGCAGGAUUGGCCGUCCAGAAACACCGAAAUUAGAAGAAAAGAAUGAC